GAAAGUGCAGUUUGGACAAUCCUAGUUUGAGAUGUAUCAAAAGUUGGCUUGAUACUGAUAAAGCUAGUGAUCUCAAGUCGAAGAAGUUACAUAUCUAAGUAUGAUUGCAGGCUAAUGGAUCACGAAUUUGCAUAUGGUUCAGGUCAGUAAGAUAACGAAGUGAAGAUAAACUACUCAUAUUGUUUUUUCCGCUACAAUGGAGUAAAGAUUU
rnacentral:lncRNA from 1 species